rnacentral:rRNA from 1 species
UCGUGGAAUAAUCUGUCUGCUUAAUUGCGUUAAUAUAUGGUGUCAGGUUCUAUUCAACCCUCAGUUUGGACGCUUAACCUCUCGGGGUGGCUCCAUUCAGAGGCUGGAGCUCGGCACUCUAUGAAACGAACGUGAUCUCAACCUCUUGUUAGCAGAUGUCAUUUGACAAUAUUUUUUGUCAGAAAAGAUUCGGCAUACGAGGGGGAUUGCCAAAUUGAAAGUGGA